CAACUCUGGAAAGUGGACGCCGUGGGGUGUCCCGCCGACGGUGAAAGCCGCGUUCCCCGCCCGCAGCUCCCCGGACUGCCGGCGGCGGCGCUGGUGAAGCUCUCAGGUCAAUGACAGAGGGGGA
rnacentral:ncRNA from 2 species